UACAGAGGUCUCAAGCGUUGUUCGGAUUCAUUGGGCGUAAAGGGCGCGUAGGCUGCGGGGCAAGUCGGGUGUGAAAUCUCAGAGCUCAACUCUGAAACUGCACUCGAUACUGCUUUGCUCGAGGACUGGAGAGGAGAUUGGAAUUCACGGUGUAGCAGUGAAAUGCGUAGAUAUCGUGAGGAAGACCAGUGGCGAAGGCGGAUCUCUGGACAGUUCCUGACGCUGAGGCGACCGGAAGGCCAGGGGAGCAAACGGG
rnacentral:rRNA from 1 species